rnacentral:rRNA from 1 species
UACGUAGGGUGCGAGCGUGUCCGGAAUUAUUGGGCGUAAAGAGCUUGUAGGCGGUUUGUCGCGUCUGCCGUGAAAAUCCGGGGCUCAACCCCGGACUUGCGGUGGGUACGGGGCAGACUAGAGUGUGGUAGGGGAGACUGGAAUUCCUGGUGUAGCGGUGAAAUGCGCAGAUAUCAGGAGGAACACCGAUGGCGAAGGCAGGUCUCUGGGCCACUACUGACGCUGAGGCACGAAAGCGGUGGGGAGCAAACAGG